rnacentral:rRNA from 1 species
GAAUAUUGGACAAUGGGGGCAACCCUGAUCCAGCAAUACCGCGUGUGUGAAGAAGGCCUGAGGGUUGUAAAGCACUUUCAGUGGGGAGGAGGAUACUUAGGUUAAGAGCUAGAGUAUUGGACGUUACCCACAGAAGAAGCACCGGCUAACUCCGUGCCAGCAGCCGCGGCAAUACGGAGGGUGCGAGCGUUAAUCGGAAUUACUGGGCGUAAAGGGUGCGUAGGUGGUUAAAUAAGUUAUCUGUGAAAUCCCCGGGCUCAACCUGGGCAGGUCAGAUAAUACUGUUUAACUCGAGUAUGGGAGAGGGUAGUGGAAUUUCCGGUGUAGCGGUGAAAUGCGUAGAGAUCGGAAGGAACACCAGUGGCGAAGGCGGCUACCUGGCCUAAUACUGACGCUGAUGGACGAAAGCGUGGGGAGCGAACAGGAUUAGAUACCCUGGUAGUC